GAGUUUGAUCCUGGUUCAGAUUGAACGCUGGCGGAAUGCUUUACACAUGCAAGUCGAACGGCAGCACGGGGCAACCUGGUGGCGAGUGGCGAACGGGUGAGUAAUACAUCGGAACGUGCCCAAUCGUGGGGGAUAACGUAGCGAAAGUUACGCUAAUACCGCAUACGAUCUACGGAUGAAAGCGGGGAUCGCAAGACCUCGCGCGAAUGGAGCGGCCGAUGUCAGAUUAGGUAGUUGGUGGGUAAAGGCUCACCAAGCCGACGAUCUGUAGCUGGUCUGAGAGGACGACCAGCCACACUGGGACUGAGACACGGCCCAGACUCCUACGGGAGGCAGCAGUGGGAAUUUUGGACAAUGGGCGCAAGCCUGAUCCAGCCAUGCCGCGUGCAGGAUGAAGGCCUUCGGGUUGUAAACUGUCUUUUGUACGGAACGAAAAGACUCCUUCUAAUAAAGGGGGUCCAUGACGGUACCGUAAGAAUAAGCACCGGCUAACUACGUG
rnacentral:rRNA from 1 species